rnacentral:tRNA from 1 species
GGGGACGUAGCUCAAUUGGUAGAGCACCUGCUUUGCAAGCAGGAAGUUGUGGGUUCAAGUCCCGUCGUCUCCACCA